UACAGAGGUCUCAAGCGUUGUCCGGAAUCAUUGGGCGUAAAGGGUGCGUAGGCGGCGCGGUAAGUCGGGUGUGAAAUUUCGAGGCUUAACUUCGAAACUGCAUUCGAUACUGCCGUGCUUGAGGACUGGAGAGGAGACUGGAAUUUACGGUGUAGCGGUGAAAUGCGUAGAUAUCGUAAGGAAGACCAGUGGCGAAGGCGGGUCUCUGGACAGUUCCUGACGCUGAGGCACGAAGGCCAGGGGAGCAAACGGG
rnacentral:rRNA from 1 species